AGCGAACGCUGGCGGCAGGCCUAACACAUGCCAGUCGAACGAACCUUUCGGGGUUAGUGGCGGACGGGUGAGUAACACGUGGGAACGUGCCUUUAGGUUCGGAAUAACUCAGGGAAACUUGUGCUAAUACCGAAUGUGCCCUUCGGGGGAAAGAUUUAUCGCCUUUAGAGCGGCCCGCGACUGAUUAGCUAGUUGGUUGAGGUAAUGGCUCACCAAGGCGACGAUCAGUAGCUGGUCUGAGAGGAUGAUCAGCCACAUUGGGACUGAGACACGGCCCAAACUCCUACGGGAGGCAGCAGUGGGGAAUCUUGCGCAAUGGGCGAAAGCCUGACGCAGCCAUGCCGCGUGAAUGAUGAAGGUCUUAGGAUUGUAAAAUUCUUUCACCGGGGACGAUAAUGACGGUACCCGGAGAAGAAGCCCCGGCUAACUUCGUG
rnacentral:rRNA from 1 species